ACGCAUCACUGGUGUUCGGGUUGUCAUGCCAAUGGCACUGCCCGGUAGCUAAAUGCGGAAGAGAUAAGUGCUGAAAGCAUCUAAGCACGAAACUUGCCCCGAGAUGAGUUCUCCCUGACUCCUUGAGGGUCCUGAAGGAACGUUGAAGACGACGACGUUGAUAGGCCGGGUGUGUAAGCGCAGCGAUGCGUUGAGCUAACCGGUACUAAUGAACCGUGAGGCUUAACCUUACAACGCCGAAGGUGUUU
rnacentral:rRNA from 1 species